UCAAUAAGCGGAGGAAAAGAAACCAACAGGGAUUGCCUCAGUAACGGCGAGUGAAGCGGCAAAAGCUCAAAUUUGAAAUCCUUCGGGAGUUGUAAUUUGUAGGUUGGGGGCUACAGCGCCAAAAAAGUUCAAGUCCCUUGGAACAGGGCGCCUUAGAGGGUGAGAGCCCCGUAGAACUUUGUCGGUGCUUCGCGCCUCCCUCCAAAGAGUCGAGUUGUUUGGGAAUGCAGCUCAAAGUGGGUGGUAAAUUCCAUCUAAAGCUAAAUACCGGCGAGAGACCGAUAGCGAACAAGUACAGUGAUGGAAAGAUGAAAAGCACUUUGAAAAGAGAGUGAAACAGUACGUGAAAUUGUUGAAAGGGAAGGGCUUGCAAGCAGACACGGCCUCGGCCGGGCCAGCAUCGGUUGCCAGGGGUGGACAAACCAAAAGAGAAUGUAGCUCUCGCGAGUGUUAUAGCUCUUUGUAAUACACCCACCGGCGACCGAGGCCUGCGUCUCACGGA
rnacentral:rRNA from 1 species